UGAACGCUGGCGGCGUGCCUAACACAUGCAAGUCGAACGGGUGAGCAGAAAUUUCGGAUGGAAGCUCAACUAGUGGCGGACGGGUGAGUAACGCGUGGAUAACCUGCCUCACACAGGGGGAUAGCAGCUGGAAACGGCUGGUAAUACCGCAUAAGACCACGGUGCCGCAUGGCACAGGGGUAAAAGAUUUAUCGGUGUGAGAUGGAUCCGCGUCUGAUUAGCCAGUUGGCGGGGUAACGGCCCACCAAAGCGACGAUCAGUAGCCGGCCUGAGAGGGUGAACGGCCACAUUGGGACUGAGACACGGCCCAAACUCCUACGGGAGGCAGCAGUGGGGAAUAUUGCACAAUGGGCGCAAGCCUGAUGCAGCAAACCGCCGCGUGAGUGAAGAAGUAUUUCGGUAUGUAAAGCUCUAUCGGCAGGGAAGAAAGGCCCUUUAAGGGAGAUGACGGUACCUGACUAAGAAGCCCCGGCUAACUACGUGCCAGCAGCGGC
rnacentral:rRNA from 1 species